rnacentral:rRNA from 1 species
GAUGAACGCUGGCGGCGUGCCUAAUACAUGCAAGUCGAGCGAACGGACGCGAAGCUUGCUUCUCUGAUGUUAGCGGCGGACGGGUGUGUAACACGUGGAUAACCUCCCUAUAAGACUGGGAUAACUUCGGGAAACCGGAGCUAAUACCGUAUGAUCUUUUGCACCGCAUGGUUCAAAAGUGAAAGACGGUCUUGCUGUCACUACUAGAUGGUUCCGCGCUGCAUUAGCUAGUUGGUAAGGUAACGGCUUACCACGGCAACGAGGCAUGACCGACGUGAGGGGGUGAUCGGCCACACGGGAAGGGAGACACGGACCAGACGCCUACGGGAGGCAGCAGUAGGGAAUCUGCCGCAAUGGGCGGAAGCCUGGCGGAGCAACGGCGAGUGAGUGGUGAAGGUCUUCGGAUCGGAAAACUCUGUUAUUAGGGGAGAACAGAUGUGGAAGUAAAUGUAGAGAUAGUGACGGUACCGAAUCAGAAAGCCCCGGCUAACUACGUG